rnacentral:rRNA from 1 species
UACGUAGGGCGCAAGCGUUGUCCGGAAUUAUUGGGCGUAAAGAGCUCGUAGGUGGUUUGUCGCGUCUGCCGUGAAAGCCCGGGGCUUAACUCCGGGUCUGCGGUGGAUACGGGCAGACUAGAGGCAGGUAGGGGAGAACGGAAUUCCCGGUGUAGCGGUGAAAUGCGCAGAUAUCAGGAAGAACACCGGUGGCGAAGGCGGCCUGCUGGGCAGUAGCUGACACUGAGGCGCGACAGCGUGGGGAGCAAACAGG